rnacentral:lncRNA from 1 species
CACAGGAAUGGUGAAAUGUAGGAAUAGGAAAAACAAAUGAUUUCUAUAGGAAUGCAAGAGCAAAACUGAGGAUUCGGAACCCAUAGGAAUACAUAUGUGUAGUUGUUUGGAUAGAACACAUGAAAGGAAUAGUCAAAUGGUACUGAUUUUGUCAAACGUCCCACCUAAGACUGCUGCUUAAGAGAUUUGCAUCAAUAGCUAUGAGGCACUGUUUGCCUCGAUCCUACGCAA